GGCUAGUUGGUCUAGGGGUAUGAUUCUCGCUUAGGAUGCGGCAGGUCCCGGGUUCAAAUCCCGGACGAGCCC